rnacentral:rRNA from 1 species
GUGGGGAAUAUUGGACAAUGGGGGGAACCCUGAUCCAGCCAUGCCGCGUGUGUGAAGAAGGCCUUUUGGUUGUAAAGCACUUUAAGCGAGGAGGAGGCUACCGAGAUUAAUACUCUUGGAUAGUGGACGUUACUCGCAGAAUAAGCACCGGCUAACUCUGUGCCAGCAGUCGCGGUAAUACAGAGGGUGCAAGCGUUAAUCGGAUUUACUGGGCUUAAAGCGCGCGUAGGUGGCCAAUUAAGUCAAAUGUGAAAUCCCCGAGCUUAACUUGGGAAUUGCAUUCGAUACUGGUUGGCUAGAGUAUGGGAGAGGAUGGUAGAAUUCCAGGUGUAGCGGUGAAAUGCGUAGAGAUCUGGAGGAAUACCGAUGGCGAAGGCAGCCAUCUGGCCUAAUACUGACACUGAGGUGCGAAAGCAUGGGGAGCAAACAGGAUUAGAUACCCGGGUAGUCC